AGAGUUUGAUCCUGGCUCAGAACGAACGCUAGCGGCAUGCUUAACACAUGCAAGUCGAACGAGAAAUCAACCUUCGGGUUGGUAGAGAGUGGCAAACGGGUGAGUAACACGUGGAUAACGUGCCCGUGAGUUUGGGAUAACCCACCGAAAGGUGAGCUAAUACCGAAUACGUUCAUGAGAACUUUGGUUCUUGUGAAGAAAGGGACUAGUGCCCGCUCAUGGAUCGGUCCGCGUUCCAUCAGCUUGUUGGUGGGGUAAUGGCCUACCAAGGCAACGACGGAUAGCUGGUCUGAGAGGACGAUCAGCCACACUGGGAUUGAGAUACGGCCCAGACUCCUACGGGAGGCAGCAGUGGGGAAUAUUGGACAAUGGGCGCAAGCCUGAUCCAGCAAUGCCGCGUGGGUGACGAAGGCCUUCGGGUUGUAAAGCCCUGUCGGGGGGGAUGAACAAGCAGCGUAACCCGCUGCCCUGACAGUACCCCCAAAGGAAGCACCGGCUAACUCCGUGCCAGCAGCCGCGGUAAUACGGAGGGUGCAAGCGUUGUUCGAAAUUACUGGGCGUAAAGGGCGUGUAGGCGGUUUGUUAAGUCGGAUGUGAAAGCCCUGGGCUCAACCUAGGAACUGCAUUCGAAACUGGCAUGACUAGAGUAUCGGAGAGGGUGGCGGAAUUCCCGGUGUAGAGGUGAAAUUCGUAGAUAUCGGGAGGAACACCAGUGGCGAAGGCGGCCACCUGGAAGGUUACUGACGCUGAGACGCGAAAGCGUGGGGAGCAAACAGGAUUAGAUACCCUGGUAGUCCACGCCGUAAACGAUGAGUGCUAGGUGUUGCGGCCAUUGAUCGCUGCAGUGCCGAAGCUAACGCAUGAAGCACUCCGCCUGGGGAGUACGGUCGCAAGGCUAAAACUCAAAGGAAUCGACGGGGGCCCGCACAAGCGGUGGAGCAUGUGGUUUAAUUCGAUGCAACGCGCAGAACCUUACCUGGGUUUGAACUGCAGUGGAUCGGUGCAGAAAUGUACUUUCCCUUCGGGGCUGCUGUAGAGGUGCUGCAUGGCUGUCGUCAGCUCGUGUCGUGAGAUGUUGGGUUAAGUCCCGCAACGAGCGCAACCCUUGUCCUUAGUUGCCAGCGGUUCGGCCGGGAACUCUAGGGAGACCGCCGGUGUUAAACCGGAGGAAGGUGGGGAUGACGUCAAGUCCUCAUGGCCUUUAUGUCCAGGGCUACACACGUGCUACAAUGGUCGGUACAAAGAGUUGCCAACCCGCGAGGGGGAGCUAAUCUCAAAAAGCCGAUCUCAGUUCGGAUUGCAGUCUGCAACUUGACUGCAUGAAGUCGGAAUCGCUAGUAAUCGCGGAUCAGCAUGCCGCGGUGAAUACGUUCUCGGGCCUUGUACACACCGCCCGUCACACCAUGGAAGUUAGUUGCUCCAGAAGUGCCUAAGCUAACCCUUCGGGGAGGCAGGGUCCUAAGGAGUGGUUGGUAACUAGGGUGAAGUCGUAACAAGGUAACCA
rnacentral:rRNA from 1 species